rnacentral:rRNA from 1 species
CCUACGGGAGGCAGCAGUCGGGAAUAUUGCGCAAUGGAGGAAACUCUGACGCAGCGACGCCGCGUGUAGGAAGAAGGUCCUCGGAUUGUAAACUCUUGUCGUGAGGGAAGAAAUUGACAGUACCUCAGGAGGAAGCUCCGGCUAACUAUGUGCCAGCAGCCGCGGUAAUACAUAGGGAGCAAGCGUUAUCCGGAUUUAUUGGGUGUAAAGGGUGCGUAGACGGGAAUUUAAGCUAGGUGUGAAAUCCCUCGGCUUAACUGAGGGACUGCAACUAAAACUGAUUUUCUUGAGUGCAGGAGAGGAAAGUGGAAUGCCUGGUGUAGCGGUGAAAUGCGUAGAUAUUAGGAGGAACACCAGUGGCGAAGGCGGCUUUCUGGACAGUAACUGACGUUGAGGCACGAAAGCGUGGGGAGCAAACAGGAUUAGAUACCCUAGUAGUC